rnacentral:rRNA from 1 species
UAGGGAAUCUUCCGCAAUGGACGCAAGUCUGACGGAGCAACGCCGCGUGAGUGAAGAAGGAUUUCGGUUCGUAAAACUCUGUUGUUAGAGAAGAACAGCGCAUAGAGUAACUGUUAUGCGUGUGACGGUAUCUAACCAGAAAGCCACGGCUAACUACGUGCCAGCAGCGGCGGUAAUACGUAGGUGGCAAGCGUUGUCCGGAUUUAUUGGGCGUAAAGCGAGCGCAGGCGGUCAAUUAAGUCUGAUGUGAAAGCCCCCGGCUCAACCGGAGAGGGUCAUUGGAAACUGGUUGACUUGAGUGCGGAAGAGGAGAGUGGAAUUCCAUGUGUAGCGGUGAAAUGCGUAGAUAUAUGGAGGAACACCGGUGGCGAAGGCGACUCUCUGGUCUGUCACUGACGCUGAGGCACGAAAGCGUGGGGAGCGAACAGG